rnacentral:tRNA from 1 species
GAGAGUAUAGCUCAGUGGUAGAGUAUGCUUAGCAGGCAUGAGGUCCUGGGUUCAAUCCCCAGUACCUCCU